rnacentral:rRNA from 1 species
GAUGAACGCUGACAGAAUGCUUAACACAUGCAAGUCAACUUGAAUUUGGGUUUUUAACUUAGAUUUGGGUGGCGGACGGGUGAGUAACGCGUAAAGAACUUGCCUCACAGCUAGGGACAACAUUUAGAAAUGAAUGCUAAUACCUGAUAUUAUGAUUUUAAGGCAUCUUAGAAUUAUGAAAGCUAUAAACACUGUGAGAGAGCUUUGCGUCCCAUUAGCUAGUUGGAGAGGUAACGGCUCACCAAGGCGAUGAUGGGUAGCCGGCCUGAGAGGGUGAUCGGCCACAAGGGGACUGAGACACGGCCCUUACUCCUACGGGAGGCAGCAGUGGGGAAUAUUGGACAAUGGACCGAGAGUCUGAUCCAGCAAUUCUGUGUGCACGAUGAAGUUUUUCGGAAUGUAAAGUGCUUUCAGUUGGGAAGAAAAAAAUGACGGUACCAACAGAAGAAGUGACGGCUAAAUACGUGCCAGCAGCCGCGGUAAUACGUAUGUCACGAGCGUUAUCCGGAUUUAUUGGGCGUAAAGCGCGUCUAGGUGGUUAUGUAAGUCUGAUGUGAAAAUGCAGGGCUCAACUCUGUACUGCGUUGGAAACUGUAUAACUAGAGUACUGGAGAGGUAAGCGGAACUACAAGUGUAGAGGUGAAAUUCGUAGAUAUUUGUAGGAAUGCCGAUGGGGAAGCCAGCUUACUGGACAGAUACUGACGCUGAAGCGCGAAAGCGUGGGUAGCAAACAGG